rnacentral:snRNA from 1 species
AGAAAUGGGUGUCUCGGGGGGAUACCAUGAUCACGAAGGUGGUUUUCCCAGGACAAGGCUUAUCCAUCGCACUCUGGAUGUGCUAACCCCUGCGAUUUCCCCAAAUGUAGGAAACUCGACUGCAUAAUUUGUGGUAGUGGGGGACUGCGUUUGAGCUUUCCCUGG